rnacentral:tRNA from 1 species
AUUUCCAUAGUUUAAAAAAAACAUUACAUUUUCAAUGUAAAAUUAAAUAAAAUUUUGUAAAUA